GACGAACGCUGGCGGCGUGCCUAAUACAUGCAAGUAGAACGCUGAAGGAGGAGCUUGCUUCUCUGGAUGAGUUGCGAACGGGUGAGUAACGCGUAGGUAACCUGCCUGGUAGCGGGGGAUAACUAUUGGAAACGAUAGCUAAUACCGCAUAAUAGUAGAUGUUGCAUGACAUUUGCUUAAAAGGUGCAAUUGCAUCACUACCAGAUGGACCUGCGUUGUAUUAGCUAGUUGGUGGGGUAACGGCUCACCAAGGCGACGAUACAUAGCCGACCUGAGAGGGUGAUCGGCCACACUGGGACUGAGACACGGCCCAGACGCCUACGGGAGGCAGCAGUAGGGAAUCUUCGGCAAUGGACGGAAGUCUGACCGAGCAACGCCGCGUGAGUGAAGAAGGGUUUCGGAUCGUAAAGCUCUGUUGUAAGAGAAGAACGAGUGUGAGAGUGGAAAGUUCACACUGUGACGGUAGCUUACCAGAAAGGGACGGCUAACUACGUG
rnacentral:rRNA from 1 species